UAUUUGGUUAUUUGUAAGUCGCUCUGGAUAACAGCAUCUGCUAAAUGACAAUUA
rfam:Salmo salar isolate Sally breed double haploid chromosome ssa24, whole genome shotgun sequence.